rnacentral:rRNA from 1 species
UGGGGAAUCUUGCACAAUGGGGCGCAAGCCUGAUGCAGCGACGCCGCGUGUGGGAUGAAGGGGCUACGCCUCGUAAACCACUGUAGCCCGGGACGAAAAACGCCUUAGAGGCGUUAGACGGUACCGGGAAAGUAAGGGUCGGCUAACUACGAGCCAGCAGCCGCGGUAAUACGUAGGACCCAAGCGUUGUCCGGAUUUACUGGGUGUAAAGGGUGCGCAGGCGGAUGGGUAAGUCAGGGGUGAAAGUCUGCAGCUUAACUGUAGAAUUGCCUUUGAUACUGCUCAUCUUGAGUGUGGGAGAGGUUGCUGGAAUUCCAGGUGUAGCAGUGAAAUGCGUAGAUAUCUGGAAGAACACCAGUGGCGAAGGCGGUCAACUGGCCCAUAACUGACGCUCAUGCACGAAAGCGUGGGGAGCAAACA